GGCAGAGCGGGCUGCGCAGGGCCCGGCUGGGCCGGGAUCCGCAGGGAUGUGCGCGCUUGGAGCGCUGGUUCUGGGGCCCGGCUGGGCCGAGCGGGAUCCACCGGGAUGUGCGCGCUUGGAGCGCUGGUUCUGGGGCCCGGCUGGGCCGGGAUCCGCAGGGAUGUGCGCGCUUGGAGCGCUGGUUCUGGGGCCCGGCUGGGCCGGGAUCCGCAGGGAUGUGCGCCCUUGGAGCGCUGGUACUGGGCCGGGAUCCACAGGGAUGUGCUCGCUUGGAGCGCUGGUUCUGGGGCCCGGCUGCUGCGGGGGACGGGCUUGGCCCCGGACUAGAGGCUCUCUGGGACCGCGUUUCACGGAACAAAGCUCGUGCCGCGUUCCCAGCUGCCAUGAGAACGUUUGUGGGAUGAGCCGAGCCCCGUUUUCCGGGAAGCAGCGGGACGGGUGUCCCUGUGCCACCCCUGAUGGUCGCAGAGAGAAGCUGCUGCUGUGGCUGCGGCCGAGGCUCAGUGCGGAAAACUGAGCAGUCCUGAUGGAAACCGAUGGAAAACCAAGUUUUCUUUGGUUUUGGACUUUCCCAGAAGUUUUUUGGGUUUGCUUUUGGUUUGUUUUACAUUUUCCCCUGAGCCCACCUGUGUGUUUUGCCUUAGGAAAUGGGAACAGGAGACAGAAGGGGGAAUCGGGACAAAGAUAAGUUGUUACCCCAGAAGGGACAAGUUCAUUUAUAUUUAUUUCCUGAUCCAGCUGGAAUGAUUUGGGUCUCAGGAGGCACCUGGGAGCCUCCUUUUGUCCUGGAUAGGGCCGUGGCUGUAAAAGGGGUAAAGGGUGGAACAGAGGUGGGCAGAGGAGUAGUGGUUGUGAUCAGUGAUACCUUGGGAAUUUUCAUCUGGAAACAGCCAUUGUUUUCCUGAUGGGAGUCUUGGAAACAGAAGGGAGAGUCCGUGAGAAAUGAGGAUGCUGCAGCUGGAAUGCUGAGAAUGGAGAGUCUGCAGGGAAUAUUGCCUGGGACAGCGUCUUAGCCCAGGUGUCGGGAGCUGUGUGCACAUUCCUCCCUGGAGCAGGGAACCCCCGUGAGGAGGAGCCAGAGAUGGGGGCAUCGAACCAGGUGCUGCCCAGGAUGGACAUCUCUGGUCUCAGACAGUGAAUCCCUAGGAGGAAGGGGAGCCUCUGCCUCAUCUGCACAGCUCAGGUGGAUGUGACAGAAUUGGUGGGGCCUGACAAGGACAGGAAAAAGCAUUACACUCCUCCCAUCUCUGCCAAAAUCUGUGGUGUUGGAGCAGCCAAAGCCAGGAGGCUUCAGCACCAGGGCUCUGCCCUGGAGGGCUCCUGGUCCUGCCCAUGCUGUGGGGUCAGCAGGAACAGGAGGAAAUGGGGUGCCAGAGCCGUGUGCCAUCAGGCCGUGUUUCCCUCUGGGGACAGAGCUGCUGCUGGAACCAUGGCCUUAGGUCUGCUCCCUCUGUGUCUGUGCCAGGGAGAAGAACACCAACUCACAGCCAUUUGGGCCUGACAGUCCCCUGCAGUCAGAGUCAGCACACAUCCACAGAGGCAAGUCCAGCAUCUGAAAGAAGAAAAACAGAAGGAAAAGUGCCUCAUGGAAUGUGGAUAUUCCCAUGCAGAGCUGCCCUUGAACACCAGCUGUGCCAGGAACCGGCAGAACUUCCAAGGAAGCUCAGCAGCAUCGGGACAGGGACAGGAAAGGGUGCACAUCCCUGCCUUCAGCACACCUCCAGUGGGACUCACCUGUAAAAGCUUUCCAUCCCUUCUGCACUUCCAGCUGGCUCCCUGAAAAACUCCCAGCUUCAUCCAAACAAAACUUCAUCCCACCCAAGCCUCUGAUUUUAAGGCAUUUCUGCAGGCUGUUGUGUGGGAUUUAGUACCUGUGAGGGAAGAUUGCAUUGGCUGGAAUGCUGCUGCUGAAUGAUGGCCUCAGGCUGGAAGGGAAGGGUUUUGGGGUGGCUGUAACUCACCUGGCAGCUGUGUGGGAGCUCUGGGAGGUUGGAACCGGGAAUUGCUGCCUGAGCCCCUCUGCAAGUGUCCCAUGCUGCCAUCAGCAGGAAAUGCCAGCUGUGCCUUGGGGUGCUUUUGGGCUGUGGGUGAUCUCCAUCCAGGCUGGAGCAUCCCCAGGUGCCUGUUCAGAGCAGCCCCUGGCCCAGGAGCCACGGGCAGCCCUGGAGCCGUGUCCGUGCCAGCACUGCCCGGGCACCCCAGUGUCCAUCCCUGGGACGUGCUUGGCACAGGCAGGACGCUGCAGAGCCCAAGGACAAGAGGUGCUGGUUGCCUUUCAGGGACUCCUGGCCUCCUCCUGCCCCACAUUGCCAGCUGGGACACAGAAACACCCAGGAACAUUGCUGGCAGUGAGCAGGAGACACCGAGGCCUCUGUGCAGCUCUGGGACCCAAAAACAGCUCCAGGAGUUGCCGUCAUCUUAGCCUGGUAAUACUCACCUGCAGGAAAUAUCCUAUGGACUUGAAAGUCAGAUUUUACAAUCUGUCUCAACCCCAGUAGAUCUUUCACAUGUCCUGUGAUCUGGACGUAAAGAGAAAAAUUCCCAGUUGAAUUUUUAUAAAUGAGGUUUUGCCAUUGCA